AGAAACCCUUUCUCGAAAAACAACAACAACAACAAAAGUGAUCCUUUUACUCUUUUUAAAGGUGGUUUCAUUUCUGCUUCUGAGUUGAGUAAAUGAAAAUUGAGUAGAAGCUGGGCCUGGUGGUGUUGGUCUUUAAUCCCAGCACUUGGGAGGCAGGGGCAGUUGGAUCUUUGAGUUCAAGGCCAGCCUGAUCUACAGAGCUAGUUCCAGGACAGCCAAGACUAUAUAUACAAGGAACUCCAUCUUGAAAAACAAAAUCAAAACAAACAAACAAAAUUCCCUCCCAAGUACUGGGAUUAAAGGCAUGCACCACCACUGCCCGGCUCCAGUCUGUUUUUAUUGUACUUUUACAUGGUUCAUACUGUGCUAUCUGUAAUUUUGUAUUUUGUUCUUUUCAUUUAUAUUUUCUUUGGUAUCUUAUUAAAUGGAUAUACCUACAAUAGCUAAUAAUUUAAUUUUCUGCUGUUCUUCCUUCCUUUCCCUCCAUCCUCCUCUCUCCUCCUUUCUUUCUUACAAGGUCUCACUGUUUCCCAGCUGGGCUUGAACUCUUAGCCGCCUGAGUAGCUGAAUUGUGAGCACAUACCCUGUGCCCAGCAGUAGUUUCAGUUUAGAAUUUGGUGACAGUGCAAGGGAUUUCAGGAACUUUUUUCUUUCUCCUGCAUUGAUGUUCUGUGGUUUGAAAUGGGUGUCUUUAUGGAUCUUGAGUAAAAUCUUCAAGUAAAAGUUUCUGGUUAUAGUAAGAUACGACCCAAACUUCUCUUUUCCUUUUUCUAGCUUUGUGUUAUUAAACUUAGUAAAGUGUUUCCCUAAAGGUAUAUAAUAGUAGGACACAGCUGAGGGCUUGAAAAUGGUUUUAAGUUAUUGCACAUUCUUUCAUAUCAAAAUUAGGGAAAAUUAAGCUAGACAAUGUGGUGUGGCCCACUCUUUCACUCUAACACUUGGGAGACAGAGAAAGAUGAUGGAGAGUUGAGAUUGUCUCAAUAAACAAUAGUAGAACUAGGAAAAGUCAAAUAUGUAAGAAUUAUUGGAUCUUUUCCUUAUUUAUGAUUUUACUUUUUCUUCUUUUAAUAUUGGUAGUGCUUAAUUCAGAUAUUUUGAGUAAGUGACUUUUUCUUUUUGGAUAGUAAGCAUUAAAAGUAGCCACAAUCUUGAAAAACAAAACCAAGCAACCAAAUAAAAUAAAUGAAACCACAGAGGCUUGACAUGGUGGUGUGGCAAGCUCCUUUAAUCCAAAGAAUUGGCAGCUUGUAGCACCUGGAUCACUGUGAGUUCCAGGCCAACUGUGGCAAUUUAACAAAUGUCAUGCUGGCCUUGGCCAGGGAGACCUUGUCCCUCUUGCUCUUCCUGUCCUUGAUAAAUAAAUUAAUAAAUUAGCCUUAGCAUCAGAUGAUUUCCCCCUUAGUACUUCAACAAAGUAAUGAUAUAUGGACCGUGUUUGUGAAGGCUGAUGGACUAAAACUCCAUGCUGUUAAAUCUCGAAAGACUUAAUAUUGUUGAAAACUGAUGAGGAGGCUAGUUAAAUUGUGUGUAGCAGGGCGGGAUAUGUCCUGGAAAUCAGUAAGCAUGGAACUUGGUGAGAAUCCUGAGGACAGGAGUGGCUUCUAGUCUUUUGUGGCUACAAAGGGAUUUGAUCUUUAUAUUUCAGUAACUACUCUUAAAGUGACAGCUAACAUUUGUCAUCUUUUCCUACAUUCCAUGUUAAGCACUUUUUGAGCUCUGUGCUAAUUCUGACCUAUUGAGUCACCAUGUUAGAACAUAGCAUAUAUAGCAUUUACAUUUGAAGAUCUGUUUUCAGUUUGAUUUCUGGUUGCACUAUGAUACACCUAUUUCUAAACUUCUAUUUGGCGUAAAUUGACGUUUGUACAUGUGACAUUCAACACAUGCGUGUCAAAAGUAGUUACUUUCACCAUUCUGUUUUGUAGAAGUAUGAUAUGCCUGUAGUACUUGAGAUAGAUUGUUUCAAAAGUUACAUCAAAACAGAAUGAAAAUAAGGGAGGUUCUUGGUACAUCCUCAAAUGGAUCAUAAUUUCUGGAAUUUUAAUCUGUUUUAUAAAUUGGAGAGAGCCAGCUGUGGGUGUGGACUUGGGUUUGAACAGUGUGGGUCAGAGCCAGGAUGCAGUAGGGAGGAGUGGAAACACAAUGUUUGGCUG
rnacentral:lncRNA from 1 species